GCUUACGACCAUACCACCCUGAGCACGCCCGAUCUUGACUGAUCUUGGAAGAUAAGCAGGGUUGGGCUUGGUUAGGACUUGGAUGGGAAGCUGCCUGGGAAUACCAGGUGCUGUAAGCU
rnacentral:rRNA from 1 species